UGCCGAGGAAUCUGCCUGGUAGUGGGGGACAACGUUUCGAAAGGAACGCUAAUACCGCAUACGUCCUACGGGAGAAAGCAGGGGACCUUCGGGCCUUGCGCUAUCAGAUGAGCCUAGGUCGGAUUAGCUAGUUGGUGGGGUAAUGGCUCACCAAGGCGACGAUCCGUAACUGGUCUGAGAGGAUGAUCAGGCACACUGGAACUGAGACACGGUCCAGACUCCUACGGGAGGCAGCAGUGGGGAAUAUUGGACAAUGGGCGAAAGCCUGAUCCAGCCAUGCCGCGUGUGUGAAGAAGGUCUUCGGAUUGUAAAGCACUUUAAGUUGGGAGGAAGGGCAGUAAGCGAAUACCUUGCUGUUUUGACGUUACCGACAGAAUAAGCACCGGCUAACUCUGUGCCAGCAGCCGCGGUAAUACAGAGGGUGCAAGCGUUAAUCGGAAUUACUGGGCGUAAAGCGCGCGUACGUGGUUUGUUAAGUUGCAUGUGAAAGCCCCGUGCUCAACCUG
rnacentral:rRNA from 1 species